ensembl:lncRNA
UUGUAGCUGGAUUUGCUCCUAACACAGUAAAAUUCGUCCCAAGCUGCUUUUACGCAGAUGUCACAUGUCAUUUUCAGGGCAUCAGCCAGUCGGUAUUGAAGUAGUGGAUGGGGCGGGUGACGGGGGUGGGGGUGGCAGGGAGGAAAAGUCACGCGUGAAAAACUCCUGGUGUCAAAAUAUGUGCCGAACUCCCUGCCGGGGAACAGAAAGCACACCCACGUCUCCAUCACUGGAGAGGCGGAGGACAGCCGGGUGGCGGCGCGUCGCGACCAGCACUCGCGAUAUUCAAUCUGAUGUCGCCAACGAGCGCAACUGGACCGCAACCCAAAGAAAUCAGCUUUUCCCGGAGCUAGGAGCAACUCGCGGCUUCCAAAGGGGAGAAGAGGAAGAUGUGAGGUGGGCGAACGGACGGCAGGCGUUCCAGACCCCUGCCUGUCACAUCUGCCGCCCCAGGCACGCAGCCCGGGUUCGAGCUCGGACCUCGCCAGGGCGGCUGGAGAGCGCAAGCCCCCGCCCGGCUCUGUCCCCGCAGGGUCCAGGCGCCCCGGAGCCGCCGCGGGCAGGGGGCAGCCGUGCCCAGUCCCGGAAGCGCCCUCGCACCUGGUGUCCCUGGGUCUGGCCUGGGGUGGGGUGGGGCUCCCGACGGCUCAUCCCCACCCACUCACCCUCUGUCCCCGUGCGCUCCAGUUCCUGACCUGUCCCUCUCCUGGUGCACAUUUUUCUAACUCGUUGCUACCCCCCACUCUCCCACUCCAGCCGCUGCUUCUGCACCCCGUCCGGUUCCUCCCUGGUACCCCGGGCGCCCGGAGCCGGGGCUCGGACCCUCGGCCAUCUACUUUCAAGCCACCGUCGGGUUUUCGGUUUUGACUCUCUGUCCAUCCCUAAAUGGGAAAACCCCGACACAGCUCUGCUCUAGGGGGGGCAGUAAGGGCUGGGGGGAGGGCCUGAGCCCGAGCUCCCCUCCCCUCCCCCCACCCCGCCUGAGCGCCCCUCGGAGGACGCAGCUUCCCGUCGACGGCGGGAUCACCUGGCUGGGCGGCGUCCGCCAGGUGAGCUGGGGCGUAAGUGUGCUCAGCGCUGCAGGUUCCUGCAGAAAUGUGCCUAUAAACACCCUACACCUACAGGGUUUUGUACACUUUCCAACCGAAACUGCACAACGCGAGAGGUGGUGAGCCGGCCCGGGAGGGAAUAAGAGUCCAAUAAAACUGAAGUUCGCUAAAGGUUAUCACUGAUCCCUCGAAGGGUAGGAAUUUUUUUUCCCCUUGAGGCAUGGAAAAGGAAUAAGGAAGAGCCAACAUUCUCCUUACCCCCCGCCCCCAACAGUGACCAGUUUUGACUUAAAAGCUAGAGCACAAGUUUGGUUGUUUUUUUUUUUUUCUUUCCCCUCUAAACCUACGUCUACACUCAAAGAAAAUGCGCAGGUUUGCCCAGAAGGCAACGUUCCUUUUCCCGCGUGCGAGACGGUGUGCUUUUUAACAAGUAAAAUUAAGGUUUUAACACAUGGUCCGAGUGGCGACGAAAAGGGAAAACUCAGUUUCCAGUCCAAGCCUCCCGGAGACAUUCCUGCCAACCUCCGCACCCUCGCACGCCCCACCCCGAGCCUCGGAGCCCGAACCACUGGGGGAUGGAUUCGCCGCGAGGUUGCAGUUCGGAUAGAGUCGGUGAUCAGAAGGGGAAGUCAACGGGGAACUGGAAGGAGCGAGCCUGCCGCGCGGGGAGCGCCCGCACUGGCGGAUCGGGGUGGACGGAGAGGGCGGCUGGGAGAGGGGCACCCGCCUGCGCCCCUCCCCUUCACGACCGCCUCCCCUCCGCCCCCGGCCCCGCUCCCCGCCGGAAUUUCUCAGUAAAGCCAGA